rnacentral:lncRNA from 1 species
CCGCACUUUGCAAAGGAUUCAACGGGUCGGUUUCGUGUGCACAUCGUAUUCUCUGUGUGUUCCUGCGUUGAUGGCUCAGCUUCGUUUUGGUGCUUUCAGACAUUCACGUACUAAUAACAGACAUGGGAAGACUAUAAGACGUCAAGAUGAAAGGCUCCUAGCAGCUCUCGGUGUUCCCAACAAAACUGGCAGAAUGGCAGUGGCUGAUUACAAGCUGCCUUUGGUGAACAAAGAAACCGUGACCACAUUAGAAUCCGAGCAGAGCUCCAAUCCUGCAUGCUGAUGACACCUUACACAACGGCUCUCUGUUAUGGGGGGCUGGUACUUAAGAAGCUUUACUGCGGGCAUCCUACCCACGAUUUUCAGACAGUUUGGGUGGAAACUUAAGCUAGACUCUAGGCCAGCGGCGGAAAAAGAGCUUCAGUGACGUGCAUGUCUACAGUGUCAUGGAAGAUGCUUCAAAGGAUACUGGACCUGCCGCCAGCUGACAUGCCUUUCUUCCUCCUUAGUUCUGUUAAGAUGUGGGUUCAGUUUUUCUAGACAUGCAAUCCAUAAUAUAUGCAGUCUAGUCAAUCAGUGCACGGCAUUACAUGCCAUUCAUUUCCUAUGUAUAUAUUUAGUCACAAUCAAAGCAGGACAACACAUGUACAUAAUUUGCAAGAAUAAAAUUUUGUUUUUUGCUAA